CUGGGGUGGAUCUUCCAGAGACGCGGCUCUGACGAAGCGGCACCGCUGGGGACACGCGCCAGGUCUCCAGUGUGUAUGUAAUUAACUGGAACUACAGCAGCACAGGACCAAGAGCAAGAAGUCAAGAGAAUCACAGGGAUUAUGGCCUUAUGACUGAUGAGCUGCUGAACUCACACUAGUAAUACUUAUAGCUGGACUUCUCGGUAUGUCAGAAUAAUUC
rnacentral:lncRNA from 1 species